UGGGGAAUAUUGGACAAUGGGGGCAACCCUGAUCCAGCCAUGCCGCGUGUGUGAAGAAGGCCUUCGGGUUGUAAAGCUCUUUUGUCAGGGAAGAAACGGUAGUAGCGAAUAACUACUACUAAUGACGGUACCUGAAGAAUAAGCACCGGCUAACUACGUGCCAGCAGCCGCGGUAAUACGUAGGGUGCAAGCGUUAAUCGGAAUUACUGGGCGUAAAGCGUGCGCAGGCGGUUGUGUAAGUCAGAUGUGAAAUCCCCGGGCUCAACCUGGGAAUUGCAUUUGAGACUGCACGGCUAGAGUGUGUCAGAGGGGGGUAGAAUUCCACGUGUAGCAGUGAAAUGCGUAGAUAUGUGGAGGAAUACCGAUGGCGAAGGCAGCCCCCUGGGAUAACACUGACGCUCAUGCACGAAAGCGUGGGGAGCAAACAGGAUUAGAUACCCUGGUAGUCCACGCCGUAAACGAUGUCAACUAGCCGUUGGGAGUCUUGAACUCUUAGUGGCGCAGCUAACGCAUUAAGUUGACCGCCUGGGGAGUACGGCCGCAAGGUUA
rnacentral:rRNA from 1 species